rnacentral:pre_miRNA from 1 species
GUUGAGGGGAAUGUUGUCUGGCUCGAGGUCACCAACUAGAUCCAUAAGCUCCAUUUCAUGUUUUUCUUAAAAAAUAUAAAGAUACAGUUUUUUUUUUCAUUAGAAAAUUAUACUAAAGAUUAGUUGAUUAUAUGAAAAGGGGUUAUGGAUCAUGAGUCAGUGUUGUCGGACCAGGCUUCAUUCCCCCCAAU